GACGAACGCUGGUGGCGUGCUUAACACAUGCCAGUCGAACGGGAUUUAGUAAACAGAAGCCUCGGUGGAAGAUUACUAAUGAGAGUGGCGAACGGGUGAGUAACGCGUGAGCAACCUGCCUAUGACAGUGGGAUAGCCUCGGGAAACCGGGAUUAAUACCGCAUAAAAUCGUAGAAACACAUGUUUUAACGGUCAAAGAUUUAUCGGUCAUAGAUGGGCUCGCGUCUGAUUAGCUAGUUGGUGAGAUAACAGCCCACCAAGGCGACGAUCAGUAGCCGGUCUGAGAGGAUGAACGGCCGCAUUGGAACUGAGACACGGUCCAAACUCCUACGGGAGGCAGCAGUGGGGAAUAUUGCACAAUGGGGGAAACCCUGAUGCAGCGACGCCGCGUGAACGAAGAAGGUAUUCGUAUCGUAAAGUUCUGUCCUAUGGGAAGAUAAUGACAGUACCAUAGAAGAAAGCUCCGGCUAAAUACGUG
rnacentral:rRNA from 1 species